rfam:Cavia porcellus supercont2_9 genomic scaffold, whole genome shotgun sequence.
UGUAACGGCCAUAGCACCCUGAAUGCGCCAGAUCUCAUCUGAUCUCAGAAGCUAAGCAAGGUCAGGCCUGAUUAACAUUUGGAUGGGAAUUAUUCCAAUGUAAGUAACAGAUUCUAUUUGGA